UGCCACACAUAUUUACAUCUCACCAUACUUUGGCCACUGACUCCAAGAAGCUAUUAUUCUUGGUGGUGAAAUAGUCUUUGAUAAAUGCAGUGAACAACCUAUUUUGUCAUUUCAAAUACCAUUUUGUGUACAUUAUGCAGUAUCGUACUCUGACCUGAAAUCGAUGGCUUUAGCACUGAAUAAGCUUAUAUUUGCAGUAAUCUCUUCAUGUGUACAGAAAAUAUCUUCUAUGCUGAUUCAAAUCUUGUGUAAGACAUUCAUAGGCGCAGGCCACUGUCCCAGAAAACUAAGGGAGAUGCACAACCAUAAGAAGAGGAACUCAAUCAGGAACAAUUAUACGAUGAAAGAUGAAAGGACGAUGGAUUACUGGUUGGCUGGGAUAUAUUUCUUCUGGAUGCACAGGUCACCUUCACUCAAGCCAGAGUAUUGGUGACGUUUUCAUGAUGUAUGUUAAUAUUGUGCACAGGAUGUUGUGAACCACUGGUGAUUUCCAAUAUACAACAAUUCUAAACCCCAGCUGAAUAUCUUAUUCACUUGAUUUAUUAGUUUCCAGGAUGACCGCCCAUAGGUCACCUUUGGUAUCAUAAGGUGUGCACCUUCCCAGAUGAAUCAUAAGGUAUGCUCUUUCUUAUCACUUAUCAGCACCAUUUUAUGAUGUAGUUUCGCUAGGAUUGUUGCUUCCUGUUUCCGCCCAUAGGUCACAUUUGGUAUCAUAAGGUGUGCACCUUCCCAGAUGAAUCAUAAGGUAUGCUCUUUCUUAUCACUUAUCAGCACCAUUUUAUGAUGUAGUUUCGCUAGGAUUGUUGCUUCCUUUUCUGAUCUAGAGGGGAAAUAAGCUUCAGUGUUGCGCAACAUAAAGCUUAGAGCCUUAGUUUUGGACGCUGCAAAUUGUAGUAAAGUACUACUUGGCAAUCUAUUUUGUAUAGAAAGGCAAUGAUGUCAUGAGUUCAUGAGUAUGCAAGGUACAUACAAGUGAUCAUGAAGUGGGGUUUAUCAAAUGAAUUUAACUAUGGCUUCUUAAAAAAC